CUUGGUCAUUUAGAGGAAGUAAAAGUCGUAACAAGGUUUCCGUAGGUGAACCUGCGGAAGGAUCAUUAUUGAUAAAGGAUGUGCUGGUAUUGAAGUUAUUCAAUACAUAAAUUUGUGCACUCCACAACCUUCCUCACAUAUCCCCUGUGCACUCCAAGUCAAGGCUGUGAAAAUUGCCUUGUCUGCUUUUAUAAAACCUUUUUAAAGUUGAAUAAUUGUGUUGGUUUUUACAAAAAAUGAAACAACUUUCAACAACGGAUCUCUUGGCUCUCGCAUCGAUGAAGAACGCAGCGAAUUGCGAUAUGUAAUGUGAAUUGCAGAAUUCAGUGAAUCAUCGAAUCUUUGAACGCACAUUGCACCCUCUGGUAUUCCGGAGGGUAUGCCUGUUUGAGUGUCAUUUUCCACCCUCAGUAUGAAAUGCAUUUCAACCAAAUGUAUCUCACACUGGAUAUUGAAGGUUUGCUGGUUGGCCAUCUUUGGUUCUAUCAGCUCCUUCUAAAUAUAUUAGCAGGUUUCAAUGCUUGGAUGACUUCAGUAUAAAGUUUACUUUGAAGCCAUGUGAGCUUUUACAAUGGACUCUGCUUUCAAACUGUCUCCUCCUUGGGACACUUAAGAAUCUUUGACCUCAAAUCAGGUAGGACUACCCGCUGAACUUAAGCAUAUCAAUAAGCGGAGGAAAAGAAACUAACUAGGAUUCCCUUAGUAACUGCGAGUGAAGAGGGAAGAGCUCAAAUUUAAAAUCUGGCAGUCUAAUCGCUGUCCGAGUUGUAAAUUAGAGAAGUGCUAUCCGUUCUGGCCUGUGCAAAAGUCCCUUGGAAAAGGGCAUCACAGAGGGUGACAAUCCCGUCUUUGGCACAGAUUCCCAGAGCUUUUGUGAUGCGCUCUCAAUGAGUCGAGUUGUUUGGGAAUGCAGCUCCAAAUGGGUGGUAAAUUCCAUCUAAAGCUAAAUACUGGCGAGAGACCGAUAGCGCACAAGUACCGUGAGGGAAAGAUGAAAAGAACUUUGAAAAGAGAGUUAAACAGUAUGUGAAAUUGUUGAAAGGGAAACACUUGAAGUCAGUCCGCUCACUGUUCAAAUCAACCUGACUAUGGUUGGGUGCAUUUUGUUCAGUCAGGGUCAGCAUCAAUUUUGGUUGCCAGAUAAAGGGUUCAGAAAUGUGACAUUCUUUUUGGAUGUGUUAUAGGCUGAGCUUUCAUGUGGUGGCUGGGAUUGAGGAACUCAGUGCUUUGCACUCAGGAUGUUGACGUAAUGGCUUCAAUUGACCCGUCUUGAAACACGGACC
rnacentral:rRNA from 1 species